AACUGGUAUAUUUAGUUAAGUUAGACCUUGGAGAAUGGGAAUAAUAUCAGUUUGCAUAAGUUUGAUGAAAAAGGUCUAAUUUGAAGAGGUCUGAUUGAAGAGAUAAGAAAGUGGCUUCAGG